GGCACCAAAGCUCAGUGGUUACAGUGCCAGCCCUGAGCACUGGGGGCAGCAAGUUCAAACCUUGCCUGAGCCU
rnacentral:tRNA from 1 species